GGCCCGCAGGCGGCCAUGGCGGCGGGCGCGGGGGCCAGGCCGGCGCCGCGCUGGCUGCGGGCGCUGUGGGAGCCGCUGAGCGCGGCGCAGCUGCGGCGGCUGGAGGAGCACCGCUACAGCGCGGCGGGGGUCUCGGUGCUGGAGCCGCCGCUGCAGCGCUACUGGGCCUGGCUGCUCCAGUGGGUGCCGCUGUGGCUCGCCCCCAACUCCAUCACCCUGCUGGGCCUCGCCAUCAACCUGCUCACCACGCUCCUGCUCAUCGCCUACUGCCCCACGGCCACCGAGGAGGCACCAUACUGGACAUACCUAUUAUGUGCACUCGGGCUCUUUAUCUACCAGUCACUGGAUGCUAUUGACGGGAAACAAGCCAGAAGAACAAAUUCUUGUUCUCCUUUAGGAGAACUUUUUGACCAUGGUUGUGACUCUCUUUCCACGGUAUUGAUGGCAGUUGGAGCUUCAAUUGCUGUGCGCUUAGGAACUCAUCAUGACUGGUUGUUUUUCUGCUGUUUUAUUGGGAUGUUCUUAUUUUAUUGUGCUCAUUGGCAGACUUAUGUUUCGGGUGUGUUGAGGUUUGGAAAAGUGGAUGUAAAUGAAAUUCAAGUAGGUUUAAUGAUCAUCUUUGUGUUGUCUACAUUUGGAGGAGCAACAAUGUGGGACUAUACGAUACCCAUUCUAGAAGUAAAAUUGAAGAUCUUCCCAGUUCUUGGAGUUGUAGGUGGAGCAAUUUUUUCCUGUUCAAAUUAUUUCCAUGUUAUCCUCCAUGGUGGAGUUGGCAAGAAUGGAUCCACUAUAGCAGGCACCAGUGUCUUGUCACCUGGACUUCACAUAGGAAUAAUUAUUAUACCGGCAAUAAUGAUCUAUAAAAAGUCAGCAACUAAUGUGUUUGAAAAGCAUCCUUGUCUUUAUACCCUAAUGUUUGGAUGUGUCUUUGCUAAAGUAGCACAAAAAUUGGUGAUAGCUCACAUGACUAAAAGUGAACUGUAUCUUCAAGACACUGCCUUUUUGGGCCCAGGUCUUUUAUUUUUAGACCAGUACUUUAAUAAUUUUGUAGACGAAUAUGUUGUUCUAUGGAUAGCAAUGGUCAUUUCUUCAUUUGAUAUGAUUAUGUACUUUAGUGCUUUGUGCCUGCAAAUUUCAAGACACCUUCAUCUAAGUAUCUUCAAGAUUUCAUGUCAUCCAGCACCUGAACAGGUUCACAAGCAUAUUGACUAAUAACCCAAGGAAAAAAGGAGAAGCAGUUAGGGGAACCUAGGAGUGAAGGAAAUCCCCUUUUGCAGGAGGCUAGUAUACUAUCAAAUAAGGUUCAAGUUCUCCCUUCAAAGAGUCAUCAGAAUAACAUGGAUUGAAGAGACUUUCGAACAAUUGCCAUCUCCUGCUGCUGCUGUUCAUGAAAGGAGAUAUUAAACAUUUGUUUAAUUUUUAGAUAAGUGUUAACCAUAUUUCAACAAAUAAAAUAUUUCAAUGCUUAAAACAUAUUAAUCCUUUUCAAUUGUAAUAUCAUAACUUACAGUAUCCAUCAUAAUUUGUUUUUGAAACAUAGCCAUUUCAUUUUUAAGUUCAUUUUGUGCAUCAGUAACUAGAGUAUCACUGUUCUUCUCCAAGUCCUCCAUACUCUAAAACACAAAAAACUAGUUUAGUUAUAAAUCACCAUUUUUAAUCUCAGGUUCUAAACUUGUGCAAUUAAUUUUCAAAAGUAGGAACUUUAAAAAAUUCAAGUAGUGUACAUUAUUUAUUCUUAAUAAAAAUAUUCUAAGUAAUGCAUCAAAACCAGAAUGCCCACUAGGAUUAAAAGGUGCCAGACAUGAAUCAAAUAGUAUUAUAGGAGGUAACAACUGUAGUGUACUUUGCUUGAAACAGUGGGUUAAUGAUCUGUUAAGGUUUCAAUAUUGAACAUACUAAAAAAAAAAAAAAGACUGGAAAUCUACCAAGAAAUGAUUUAUGAACUUUCUAUUUU